rnacentral:misc_RNA from 1 species
GAUGAAGAACGCAGCGAAAUGCGAUAAGUAAUGUGAAUUGCAGAUUUCAGUGAAUCAUCGAAUCUUUGAACGCACCUUGCGCCUUGUGGUAUUCCACAAGGCAUGCCCGUUUGAGUAUCAUUAAAUCAUCAACUCUAAAACCUUUGUGGUUUUUUUAGAGCUUGGUCUUGAGGGUUUUGCAGGCUUUUUUUUUUCUAGUCUGCUCCCUUUAAAUGCAUUAGCGAGACUUCCCUAUGCUGAACCGUCUCUUUGACGUGAUAAUUAUCUGCGUCGAAUUUUGGUUCUCGUUGGGCUUGCUUCUAAUCGUCUGUUAAAGACAAAACGGAUUUGGGUGCAUAUAUGCGCCUUUUUCCAAAACCUUUUUUGAUCUCAAAUCGGGUAGGACUACCCGCUGAACUUAAGCAUAUCAAUAAGCGGAGGA